UACGUAGGGUGCGAGCGUUGCCCGGAAUUAUUGGGCGUAAAGAGCUCGUAGGCGGUUUGUCGCGUCGGCCGUGAAAUCUCCACGCUUAACGUGGAGCGUGCGGUCGAUACGGGCAGACUUGAGUUCGGUAGGGGAGACUGGAAUUCCUGGUGUAGCGGUGAAAUGCGCAGAUAUCAGGAGGAACACCGGUGGCGAAGGCGGGUCUCUGGGCCGAUACUGACGCUGAGGAGCGAAAGCGUGGGGAGCGAACAGG
rnacentral:rRNA from 1 species